AGAAUCAACGCUGGCGGCGUGCCUAACACAUGCAAGUCGCACGAGAAAGGGGAGCAAUUCCUGAGUAAAGUGGCGCACGGGUGAGUAACACGUGAAUAAUCUACCUCCGAGUGGGGAAUAACUGAGAGAAAUCUUAGCUAAUACCGCAUAACACUUACGAGUCAAAGCAGCAAUGCGCUUGGAGAGGAGUUCGCGGCCGAUUAGUUAGUUGGCGGGGUAAUGGCCCACCAAGACGAUGAUCGGUAUCCGGCCUGAGAGGGCGCACGGACACACUGGAACUGAAACACGGUCCAGACUCCUACGGGAGGCAGCAGUGGGGAAUAUUGCGCAAUGGGCGAAAGCCUGACGCAGCGACGCCGCGUGAGGGAUGACGGCCUUCGGGUUGUAACCUCUUUCAGCAGGGACGAAGCGAAAGUGACGGUACCUGCAGAAGAAGCGCCGGCCAACUACGUGCCAGCAGCCGC
rnacentral:rRNA from 1 species